rnacentral:piRNA from 1 species
UAGUUACAUCCUUUUUGUGGC